UAGAGAACUGAUCAUUCUCUAUAGGGUAUGCCAGAAUAACAGAUGUGGUCAUGCACUCUGUAAUGGUGAAGUAAGUCAGGGGUGGUGCCCGCUGUGGAAGCACAGAACUCUAACCAAGAGGACUGAAAAGAAUGAGGAUCACUAUUACUACUAGUGAGACCAUCUUCAUUGAGGGUAUAGUAAAAUCCCUCUACCCACCCA
ncrna:unclassified sequences manA RNA